GACAUGAACAUGUGCAAGACAACAUUUUGCAAGCAAGAAACACAGCAGAAGGGCAGAAAGAAAAAGCCUAAACAAUUGGAGAGGAGGCACCCAUCAGUCUCUGUUCAGGUUGAGGCCUCACAUGUGCCGCCGUCCACUAUCUUUUUAUAUUUUCUGCAAGCAAGAUCUGUUUAAUUAAUAAUUAUUAUGUCAGCCCAAUUGCCAAUUUAGCCGCACCAGACAGACAGGAGAGGGACGAGUGAGAGUGAGAGGAGUGAGAAGCGCAAGUACAAAAAGGCAAAAGGGCGAUGAAAUUUCCAUGCUCCAAUGAUUGUGCAGCCACCAACAACUCCAGAUUUCAUUCUACUCCAAUCAAGCGAGAUUAAAGAAACGAUUUUUAUUUUAUAAAAGGUGGGUUGUUAUCUGUCUCUGAGACGAUGAUGGCUCUACUGACUAACCAGAUACAGUAUUUAUUAGUCAGGUGUAAUUUUCCAUCGACGGUGUCAGAAAAGGACAUUGCUCUGCACUAACAAAUAUCAUUACGGCAAUAAUGUAAUCCGAGCUUUGCAGCUUCAGCAGCCACCAGAGCUG
rnacentral:lncRNA from 1 species